rnacentral:snRNA from 1 species
CUACUUGAAUAGCAGGCGGCACCAUGGCCUAGGCUGGUGACAUCUAUUGCACUUUGGAAGGGUACUAGCUUUAAGGCUGGCCCAAGUGAUCGAGCCUUUGUGACAGUGGGGGCCUGCAUUCGUGCAACCUCUUC